AUGACCUUUCAUCUUAUUUCUCAUCUGCUGGUCCCAUCAACCCUAACUUUGUAUCUGCUAAAACUCAGGAUGUGAUAGGUUAUAUUGGGCAACAAUGACAACAAUUCAGUGGGCUAAAGAAAAAGUUUAAUUUCUGCUGAUAUUGCAUAUCCAACAAGGACUGGAAGAGGGAAUCUUCACUUUGGACCCUAAAAGGUCCAGCCUGAUUUUGAAAUUUGAAGACAAAUUGAUAGGUGGAAACACGAUUCAAGAGAAAGUGAACACACCAUUGUUACUACAGACAGAAGGUGGAUUGAGGGAAGAAUGGCUUAUUUAAUUGGUGAAUUUUAGAGAAGAAAUUGAGAAUGUCUGCUACUUUUCAUCCCUCCUGAAACUACUACUAUUUUUAGAGGUGCCUAACAUGUUGACCUGCUCUUUGGUAGGUGGUAAACUUGCCUUGCAAACUCUUCUGCAAGAAAGGCUUGGGAUCUUUCAGUUUAGUUUAUAACUGUCUAGAUUUAUCAGUCCAGAUUGGCUAGGUUAUGCUGGGUAACAAACAACACCAACAUUCUAGUAGAUUUUAAAUAAAGGUUUAACUUCUGCUUCUGCUUAU